GCUUUUUUCAUUAAAAAAUUCUGUUAGUCCAAUAAAUAAUGUAUUACAAGAUAAAAAAAUUAUUUGUUUUUCACAUCUACAUCACUGGACUAAUACGGCUACAAUCUCUACUUGAACACUCUGUAAAAUAGGAAAGAGUAAACAAUCUCUACGUAUCAGACCAUGAUCUCACUUGUUCAGACCUUGCAUUUCCACUUUGUGUCCUGACUCCGAGCAACAGUGGAUCUUAUUGGACAUCACAUCCUCCUCUACAUCUUUGAAUUUAAAGGGAAACUAUAAUGCCCGGAAAACAAAGUAGUUGUUUUCCUGAAACUAUAGUGCCCCUUUCUGUCACUUACCUGAGUCUAGCGCUGAUGUCUCUCAGCGCUGGCUGGGGCUCUGCCUCUGCUCUGACAUCAGCCAGCGGGAGAGACCUAAUGCACAAUUAUACAAUGUUUUCCUUUGGGGUUUUGGGUGAUGCUGGAUGUCAUCAUCCAUAGCGUGAGGAUGUCCAGCAUCAGGCCACCAAAAGUCACCUAGCGACCUG